rnacentral:rRNA from 1 species
AGUGAACGCUGGCGGUGGGCCUAACACAUGCAAGUCGAACGGCAGCACAGUAAGAGCUUGCUCUUACGGGUGGCGAGUGGCGGACGGGUGAGGAAUACAUCGGGAUCUACUUUUUCGUGGGGGAUAACGUAGGGAAACUUACGCUAAUACCGCAUACGACCUACGGGUGAAAGCAGGGGAUCUUCGGACCUUGCGCGAUUGAAUGAGCCGAUGUCGGAUUAGCUAGUUGGCGGGGUAAAGGCCCACCAAGGCGACGAUCCGUAGCUGGUCUGAGAGGAUGAUCAGCCACACUGGAACUGAGACACGGUCCAGACUCCUACGGGAGGCAGCAGUGGGGAAUAUUGGACAAUGGGCGCAAGCCUGAUCCAGCCAUACCGCGUGGGUGAAGAAGGCCUUCAGGUUGUAAAGCCCUUUUGUUGGGAAAGAAAAGCAGCAGGUUAAUACCCCGCUGUUCUGACGGUACCCAAAGAAUAAGCACCGGCUAACUUCGUG